CCGGAGGCGCUCUCGGAGAGGCUGGGGGCCUGCGGCAGACGCCCCCUUCCCUCUCCGCCGGCCCCGGGCGCUUUAACCCUGAGGCUGCCGGCGGGCAGGGCGCGGGAAGGUCUGCGGCCCUGACAGGAUGGCCCCUGGCCCCCUGGCCCCUGGCGGGUGACCUGCCCCGAUGGCCCCGGUGGCUGUUCUGAUCAGUCUCAGCGAGGUCCCUGGGGAGAGAAGCGCCGCGCACCCACGUGCAGGCUGUGAAGUGCUCUGUCUCAUCAGGUCUUGCUGGACAAGUGGCUGCGGGAAAGCAUCAGGCAAGAGGAUCGCUGCAGCCUCCUGGGGACCCUGUCAGUGAGGACGUGUCUCCCCCUUUUCCAGAGGACAGCGGGGCUAGAGGGUCCGCAGGCACCCCGCCUGGGUGCACUCAUGCACACGAUCAGCUGGCACCCGGUGGAGCAGUCCCCUUCUGAACACUCACCUGAGGGACCCUCUUGCAGGCUCCACCCCUUGUGGCCUUCAGCCCCCGAGCUGGGGUCAGAUCCCAGCAUGCCCCAGGGCUGAAGAGCAAGGUUGACCUUGGAGGAAAUAGCUUCCACUCCAAAAGGAAGUCAAAUGUUGCCGAUUUCCAUCGGUGGGAAACCAGGUGGAUGACGCCACCGCCUUGGGCCGGAUUUACAGGUAUGAGCGGCACCCAGAGGCAGCCGGGCACGGGCAUGGCCUCCGGCAGAUGGCUUGGCCGGUAGAAGCUCCAACCCCUCGGUGGCCUACAUUCAGUGAGGCGGGCGUGCCGCACGUCCCGGGGAGGACCGGGAGGAAGAAUCCACAGGGAGUGACUUGUCAGGGGUGACCUGCUCGCCUUUGAGAAAUCUAGGGGUGAGGCGAGCCAUCAUCCCUGGACUCUGUGUGGUAUCCUCCCGGCUGGCGAGAGGGGAGAUGGUUCCUGAUCCCAGAGGGCGGAUGGCACCGCAAGCGGCACAGGCUGAGUGGCAAUCUUAAGCAGAGAUGGAGCUGUUCCCAGAAAGUUCUACUUGUAGGGAUCUUUGAUGGAGGGUAAGUGAUCGUGGUGUCCUUAGGAAUGAAGUCGGCGGGCCAUGCACAGAAGCAUCACUCGAACUAGGUGACAGGAAAACCCGAAGUCUGGGGACAGGACAGUGAGCUUCUAGGUUUACAACCCUAAUAAAUUAUAGUUUCCUUUAUCA